rnacentral:lncRNA from 1 species
ACAAAUAUAUAUAAAAUAUAAUAUCUUAUAGAAUGGAAAAAAGAAAAGAAAACAUAAAAUGCUGAAAAACGAGGCACACGUGGUUCGAAUUAGGGACCUGGUGGUUAGGCUUUACCACUCCACCAAGUUCUCUUAUUUGUUAUUCACUUGAAACUAUGAAUAUAUAUAAUAUAAUAGUGCGCUAAAACCUUAAAAAACAAUACAAAAUUAAUAAAAACAGUAACAUCAUAUUUCCUUCACAAACAUGUUCAUCUUUUAUGAACUAUCAUUACACAACAGCUGCAGACACACCAAAAAUGUAAACUACAAACAUCAAACACCAAAGCCAAAUAUGAUGCAUCUCAAACUAAAACAAACAU